CAAUAGCGUAUAUUAAAGCUGUUGCGGUUAAAAAGCUCGUAGUUGGAUUUCUGUCAAGGACAACUGGUCCGCCCCUCGGGUGAGCACAUAGUUUGGUCUUGGCAUCUUGUUGGAAACUGUUGCUGCACUUGGUUGUGUGGCGCAGUGUCUAGCACUUUCACUUUGAGGAAAUUGGAGUGUUUCAAGCAGGCACAUGCCUUUGGACACAGUAGCAUGGAAUAAUUAGAUUGGGCUUUUGCUCCAACUUGUCGGUUUCUGGAGCUGAGGUGAGAAUUAAUGGGGAUUGUUGGGGGCAUCCGAAUUUAGCCGUCAGAGGUGAAAUUCUUGGAUCUGCUAAAGACGGACAACUGCGAAAGCGUUUGCCCAGGAUGUUUUCAUUGA
rnacentral:rRNA from 1 species